rnacentral:rRNA from 1 species
GACAGAGGGUACAAACGUUGUUCGGAAUUACUGGGCGUAAAGCGCGUGUAGGCGGUUAUGCAAGUCGGAUGUGAAAGCCCGGAGCUCAACUCCGGAAGUGCAUUCGAUACUGCGUAGCUAGAGUACUGGAGAGGAUGGUGGAACUCUCGGUGUAGAGGUGAAAUUCGUAGAUAUCGAGAAGAACACCGGUGGCGAAGGCGGCCAUCUGGACAGAUACUGACGCUGAGACGCGAAAGCGUGGGGAGCAAACAGG